GCCAUGCGAGUCACGCCGCAGGCGUGGCAUACGGCUCAGUAACACGUAGUCAACAUGCCCAAAGGACGUGGAUAACCUCGGGAAACUGAGGAUAAACCGCGAUAGGCCAAGGUCUCUGGAAUGAGCCAUGGCCGAAAUCUAUAUGGCCUUUGGAUUGGACUGCGGCCGAUCAGGCUGUUGGUGAGGUAAUGGCCCACCAAACCUGUAACCGGUACGGGCUUUGAGAGAAGGAGCCCGGAGAUGGGCACUGAGACAAGGGCCCAGGCCCUAUGGGGCGCAGCAGGCGCGAAACCUCUGCAAUAGGCGAAAGCUUGACAGGGUUACUCUGAGUGAUUCCCGCUAAGGGGAUCUUUUGGCACCUUUAAAAAUGGUGCAGAAUAAGGGGUGGGCAAGUCUGGUGUCAGCCGCCGCGGUAAUACCAGCACCCCGAGUGGUCGGGACGAUUAUUGGGCCUAAAGCAUCCGUAGCCGGUACUGCAAGUCUUCCGUUAAAUCCACCUGCUUAACAGUUGGGCUGCGGGGGAUACUACAGCGCUAGGAGGCGGGAGAGGCAAGCGGUACUCAAUGGGUAGGGGUAAAAUCCGCUGAUCCAUUGAAGACCACCAGUGGCGAAGGCGGCUUGCCAGAACGCGCUCGACGGUGAGGGAUGAAAGCUGGGGGAGCAAACCGGAUUAGAUACCCGGGUAGUCCCAGCUGUAAACGAUGCAGACUCGGUGAUGGGCUGGCCUUGUGCCAGCCCAGUGCCGCAGGAAGCCGUUAAGUCUGCCGCCUGGGGAGUACGGUCGCAGACUGAACUUA
rnacentral:rRNA from 1 species